rnacentral:misc_RNA from 1 species
AGAAACUCGGAAUGAUCCACAUCUUCGUCAUGCAUCAACAAUGAGACGGAAAUAAUCCACUCACUCGCCCUGAGGACCUCCUGUCAGGUGCAAGCAGAAAUGUAUGGUAGGAGCUUGAGUUUGCAGUCAAAUGGUUUGGAUCAACUUACAAUACAUUAAACAUUUGUGCUGGCCAAUUUCGUUUUCUACCAAAAGGUCCGAUUCCUGAUAGCUCCAUGGAAAUGUCAAUGCUUCGAUGCUGAGCAGCACGAACUACACUGAUCCGACAUUGUAUUUUCACCGCGGGGCAGGCAUCAGAACCAACUGCUGCCAUUUUGUCAACAUUUAGUGUACCUGGGGAUACCAUUGCAA